GAGGCACUGUCUGCUCCUGUUCUUUCUGUAGCUUCACCUUCAGCAAUUCGGGCCUGGCUGAAUCUGAUUCAAAAUGAUGAGCAAUGGAGUAAUCACGUUGCCUGUAUUGGAGAGACAACUGCUUCAGCUGCAAGACGACUAGGAUUGAAAAACGUGUACUACCCAGAGGCACCGGGACUUGAAGGGUGGGUCGAGAGCAUCAUGGAAGCUCUAGUUGCUCACAAAAA